CUACAGCGUUAAAUAGAAGGUCUCUUCACAAGGCAGCUGCGCCAAAUACAUCAACAAACAGAGUACAUAACAUGGUAGCCUCAAAAAAGAAAACAUAACAUGGCAGAGCCUUUACAAGGUAUCAAAUUAACACCUACGAUGGAGUCAAUCAGGUUGUGGAUGACACUCUCAACAAGGUAACAACAUAAGUUGAUCGUUCCUAAGCCCAAUGAAAGAAAGGCCAGAGCAAAAGAGUUCUCAACCCAGACAUAAAGUGGUGCUGCGAUCACCAUCUUGAUGACGGAUCUUACUAGUAGCAACUACUACCUCCGUUUCUAGUAGUACAAGUUUUUCUAGAUAUUUCACUACGGACGAAUUUGCAUUCUAAAAUAUGUCUAUAUAUACAGCAGCACGACAGGCACAUAUGAAUGGAAGAUGCACAUGGACCCAAGACAAAUAAUAAACCAACAUUAAUUAAUACGGUCACUGGAGGUUGAUAUGCAAGUCCCAGCUUACAAGGUUAAGUAUACAGCAACCCUGCUGUCAGCACUACUAAAAACACCACCAAAAUAAUUAUGGCUGUUCAUCCAGUCUUCCACAGCCCACAGAUAGACAACUACCAAGCGGCGCUCCACAACCAAGGNNNNN
rnacentral:lncRNA from 1 species